rnacentral:rRNA from 1 species
AGUGAACGCUGGCGGCGUGCCUAAUACAUGCAAGUCGAACGGAGUGGCGCACGGGUGAGUAAUGUAUAGCUAAUCUGCCCUCCACUAGAGGACAACAGCUGGUAACGACUGCUAAUACUCUAUAGUGUAGGAUGAGGCUAUAUUGUAUCAGCUAGUUGGUGAGGUAAUGGCUCACCAAGGUUAUGACGCAUAACUGGUCUGAGAGGAUGAUCAGUCACACCGUAACGGAGACACGGUCCAGGAUCAUACGGGAGGGAGCGGUAGGGAAUAUUGCCCAAGGGGGGAAACCCUGGAGCAGCAGCGGCGCGUGGAGGAUGACACUUUUCGGAGAGUAAACUCCUUUUGUUAGGGAAGCGGUACCUAACGAAUAAGCACCGGCUAACUCCGUGCCAGCAGCCGCGGUAAUUC